rnacentral:sRNA from 1 species
AGACUGGGUGCCUGUGGCCCUGGGAGGAGGUGGAAGGGGAGGAGCAGGCCACACAGGCACAGGCCGGUGAGGGACCUGCCCAGACCUGGAGGUGGUGACUUCCAAGAGUGACUCCGUCGGAGGAAAAUGACUGCCCAGUCGCUGCUGCAGACGACACUGUUCCUGCUGAGUCUGCUCUUCCUGGUCCAAGCCAGCGGAACCAGACACACAGGAGCAGCCUCCACUACAAACCCACACCAGACCUGCGCAUCUCCAUCGAGAACUCCGAAGAGGCCCUCACAGUCCAUGCCCCUUUCCCUGCAGCCCACCCUGCUUCCCAAUCCUUCCCUGACCCCAGGGGCCUCUACCACUUCUGCCUCUACUGGAACCGACAUGCUGGGAGAUUACAUCUUCUCUAUGGGAAGCGUGACUUCUUGCUGAGUGACAAAGCCUCUAGCCUCCUCUGCUUCCAGCACCAGGAGGAGAGCCUGGCUCAGGGCCCCCCGCUGUUAGCCACUUCUGUCACCUCCUGGUGGAGCCCUCAGAACAUCAGCC